UACGUAGGUGGCAAGCGUUGUCCGGAAUUAUUGGGCGUAAAGCGCGCGCAGGCGGCUAUGUAAGUCUGGUGUUAAAGCCCGGGGCUCAACCCCGGUUCGCAUCGGAAACUGCGUAGCUUGAGUGCAGAAGAGGAAAGCGGUAUUCCACGUGUAGCGGUGAAAUGCGUAGAGAUGUGGAGGAACACCAGUGGCGAAGGCGGCUUUCUGGUCUGUAACUGACGCUGAGGCGCGAAAGCGUGGGGAGCAAACAGGAUUAGAUACCCUUGUAGU
rnacentral:rRNA from 1 species